GCGGAGGAAAAGAAACCAACAGGGAUUGCCUUAGUAACGGCGAGUGAAGCGGCAAAAGCUCAAAUUUGAAAUCUAGCACUUUCAGUGUUCGAGUUGUAAUUUGAAGAAGGUAUCUUUGGAGUUGGCCCCUGUCUAUGUUCCUUGGAACAGGACGUCACAGAGGGUGAGAAUCCCGUGCGAUGGGGAGACCAAUUCUAUGUAAAGUUCCUUCGAAGAGUCGAGUUGUUUGGGAAUGCAGCUCUAAGUGGGUGGUAAAUUCCAUCUAAAGCUAAAUAUUGGCGAGAGACCGAUAGCGAACAAGUACAGUGAUGGAAAGAUGAAAAGAACUUUGAAAAGAGAGUGAAAAAGUACGUGAAAUUGUUGAAAGGGAAGGGCUUUUGAUCAGACUUGGUGUUUAGUACUCUCUACUCCUUGUGGGUGGGGCUCUUGCUUUAUACUGGGCCAGCAUCGGUUUGGAUGGCAGGAUAAUGACUUUGGAAUGUGGCUUCAUUCGUGGAGUGUUAUAGCCUUUGUUGAUACUGCCUAUCUAGACCGAGGACUGCGUCUUUUGACUAGGAUGCUGGCGUAAUGAUUAAAAGCCGCCCGUCUU
rnacentral:rRNA from 1 species